rnacentral:rRNA from 1 species
UUAAUGGAACAGUCUGGAAAGUCCGGCGAUACAGGGUGAUAGCCCCGUACAUAAAAACUUAUCUACAGUGAAAUCGAGUAGGGCGGGACACGUGAUAUCCUGUCUGAACAUGGGGGGACCAUCCUCCAAGGCUAAAUACUCUCUACCGACCGAUAGUGAACCAGUACCGUGAGGGAAAGGCGAAAAGAACCCCGUUGAGGGGAGUGAAAUAGAACCUGAAACCGUAUGCGUACAAGCAGUGGGAGCCCCUUCGGGGGUGACUGCGUACCUUUUGUAUAAUGGGUCAGCGACUUACUACUUUGUGGCAAGCUUAACCGUUUAGGGGAGGCGUAGGGAAACCGAGUCUUAAUAGGGCGAAUUAGUCGCAAGGUGUAGACCCGAAACCGGGCGAUCUAUCCAUGGCCAGGGUGAAGGUGCGGUAACACGCGCUGGAGGCCCGAACCCACUUAUGUUGAAAAAUGAGGGGAUGAGCUGUGGAUCGGAGUGAAAGGCUAAUCAAGCCCGGAGAUAGCUGGUUCUCCUCGAAAGCUAUUUAGGUAGCGCCUCGCGUAUCACUCCAGGGGGUAGAGCACUGUUACGGCUAGGGGGCCAUCCCGGCUUACCAAACCGUUGCAAACUCCGAAUACCUGGAAGUGCAAUCGCGGGAGACAGACGGCGGGUGCUAACGUCCGUCGUCAAGAGGGAAACAACCCAGACCGCCAGCUAAGGUCCCUAAAUCAUGGCUCAGUGGGAAACGAUGUGGGAAGGCCUAGACAGCUAGGAGGUUGGCUUAGAAGCAGCCAUCCUUUAAAGAAAGCGUAAUAGCUCACUAGUCGAGUCGGCCCGCGCGGAAGAUUUAACGGGGCUUAAGCCAUGUACCGAAGCUGCGGAUGCGUGUUUACACGCAUGGUAGAGGAGCGUUCUGUAAGCCUGUGAAGGUGUGUUGUAAAGCAUGCUGGAGGUAUCAGAAGUGCGAAUGCUGACAUGAGUAACGAUAAAGGGGGUGAGAGGCCCCCUCGCCGAAAACCCAAGGUUCGCAGCUCAGCGCUAAUCGUGGCGGGGUG